CUGUUCUCACCCAAUUUCUGUCUUUAUCCAAAUAAAUAAAUAAAUAAAAUUAAAACAGUUUUAUCUGUUUUUUGUUAAGUAGGACAGCAAUUUCUACGAAAUUCUUAUAAAUGACAAAGCAGAAGGCAGAAGCCUGUAUUUUUUUUUAACGUCAAUAAUUUUCAAUACAGCUGUCUUUCACAGAAAAAUCUGUUCACAGGUUUAAACUCAUAAAACAGGUUACUUUUAUCUGUAACUUGGCUUCACAUUUCUGAGCUUCAGUGCUCAAGUGCUCGACACAGUUGGAAAGACUGGGGCAAAAGCAAAGCAUUUUCUCCCAUAAAAGCUGCCUCACACUUUUUUUUUUUUUUUUUUUUGCUUUCUCUCCAUGGGACAAUGACAAGUCCCAGAUACAAUACUUCCUGCCCAGGCCUCCUCCGUGGAAGAGGACAUAAGUAGCGGAAGGUGAGUUGAGCUUGACCUCAGUUCCCUCGCAGACCCCGCCUUCCCCUUAGAGUGUGGGUUGGAGACUGGUGGCCCUUGCAUUUCGCAAUCACUGAGGGUGCCCGAGUGUCAUCCUGUCUCUCGCUCUACCAACUCCAGGGCUCAUCCAGGGAAUAGGGCAAAUCCUAGCCGCCCAGACCCCGCCUGCGCCCUCUCCCGUGAUGAUUGACAGCGAAGUUGGUACAUACGGGUCUGCAGCCAAGGCAAGCAGGAGGAUAACUCAAGGAUCAUCUUGUAUAGUGUUGUCCAGCUGAGAGCUUUGACAAAUGGCAAAGAUACAGUGUACAUGUGAUAAAGAUAGUUUACACUAUCAGGAUGCCAACAUGCCUUCCCUGGGAAGACAAUCCCACCAAGGUGUCCUGGAGCCCCACCUCCCCAGAUCCCUACACCACUAGGGAAAGAGAGAGACAGGCUGAGAGUAUGCAUUGAUGUGUCAAUGCCCACGUUCAGCAGGGUAGUAAUUACAGAAACCAGACCUUCCACCUUCUGCACACCAUAAUCAUCCUGUGUCCAUACUCCCAGAGGGAUAAAGAAUGGGAAAGUUUUCAAGGGAGGAGAUUGGAUAUGGAGUUCUGGUGGUGGGAGUUAUAUGGAGUUGUACCCUUCUUAUCCUAUGGUCUUGUCAAUACUUCCCUUUCAU